rnacentral:rRNA from 1 species
UACGUAGGUGACAAGCGUUGUCCGGAUUUACUGGGCGUAAAGAGCGCGCAGGCGGUCGAUCAAGUCGGGUGUUAAAGCCCCCGGCUCAACUGGGGAGGGUCAUUCGAUACUGAUCGACUCGAAGGCAGGAGAGGGUAGUGGAAUUCCCGGUGUAGUGGUGAAAUGCGUAGAUAUCGGGAGGAACACCAGUGGCGAAGGCGACUACCUGGCCUGUUCUUGACGCUGAGGCACGAAAGCUAGGGGAGCAAACGGG